rnacentral:rRNA from 1 species
AAACCAUGCACCGAAGCUGCGGCAGCGACGCUGAUGCGUUGUUGGGUAGGGGAGCGUUCUGUAAGCCUGCGAAGGUGGCCUGUGAGGGUUGCUGGAGGUAUCAGAAGUGCGAAUGCUGACAUAAGUAACGAUAAAGCGGGUGAAAAGCCCGCUCGCCGGAAGACCAAGGGUUCCUGUCCAACGUUAAUCGGGGCAGGGUGAGUCGACCCCUAAGGCGAGGCCGAAAGGCGUAGUCGAUGGGAAACGGGUUAAUAUUCCCGUACUUGGUGUUACUGCGAAGGGGGGACGGAGAAGGCUAUGUUGGCCGGGCGACGGUUGUCCCGGUUUAAGCGUGUAGGUGUGUGUUCCAGGUAAAUCCGGUUCACUUUAACACUGAGGCGUGACGACGAGGCACUACGGUGCUGAAGCAACAAAUGCCCUGCUUCCAGGAAAAGCCUCUAAGCAUCAGGUAACAUCAAAUCGUACCCCAAACCGACACAGGUGGUCAGGUAGAGAAUACCAAGGCGCUUGAGAGAACUCGGGUGAAGGAACUAGGCAAAAUGGUGCCGUAACUUCGGGAGAAGGCACGCUGACACGUAGGUGAAGUGAUUUACUCAUGGAGCUGAAGUCAGUCGAAGAUACCAGCUGGCUGCAACUGUUUAUUAAAAACACAGCACUGUGCAAACACGAAAGUGGACGUAUACGGUGUGACGCCUGCCCGGUGCCGGAAGGUUAAUUGAUGGGGUCAGCGCAAGCGAAGCUCCUGAUCGAAGCCCCGGUAAACGGCGGCCGUAACUAUAACGGUCCUAAGGUAGCGAAAUUCCUUGUCGGGUAAGUUCCGACCUGCACGAAUGGCGUAAUGAUGGCCAGGCUGUCUCCACCCGAGACUCAGUGAAAUUGAACUCGCUGUGAAGAUGCAGUGUACCCGCGGCAAGACGGAAAGACCCCGUGAACCUUUACUAUAGCUUGACACUGAACAUUGAGCCUUGAUGUGUAGGAUAGGUGGGAGGCUUUGAAGUGUGGACGCCAGUCUGCAUGGAGCCGACCUUGAAAUACCACCCUUUAAUGUUUGAUGUUCUAACGUGGACCCGUGAUCCGGGUUGCGGACAGUGUCUGGUGGGUAGUUUGACUGGGGCGGUCUCCUCCUAAAGAGUAACGGAGGAGCACGAAGGUUGGCUAAUCCUGGUCGGACAUCAGGAGGUUAGUGCAAUGGCAUAAGCCAGCUUGACUGCGAGCGUGACGGCGCGAGCAGGUGCGAAAGCAGGUCAUAGUGAUCCGGUGGUUCUGAAUGGAAGGGCCAUCGCUCAACGGAUAAAAGGUACUCCGGGGAUAACAGGCUGAUACCGCCCAAGAGUUCAUAUCGACGGCGGUGUUUGGCACCUCGAUGUCGGCUCAUCACAUCCUGGGGCUGAAGUAGGUCCCAAGGGUAUGGCUGUUCGCCAUUUAAAGUGGUACGCGAGCUGGGUUUAGAACGUCGUGAGACAGUUCGGUCCCUAUCUGCCGUGGGCGCUGGAGAACUGAGGGGGGCUGCUCCUAGUACGAGAGGACCGGAGUGGACGCAUCACUGGUGUUCGGGUUGUCAUGCCAAUGGCACUGCCCGGUAGCUAAAUGCGGAAGAGAUAAGUGCUGAAAGCAUCUAAGCACGAAACUUGCCCCGAG